rnacentral:rRNA from 1 species
AUUGAACGCUGGCGGCAGGCCUAACACAUGCAAGUCGAGCGAGCGGCGGACGGGUGAGUAAUGUCUGGGAAACUGCCUGAUGGAGAGGGAUAACUACUGGAAACGGUAGCUAAUACCGCAUACCAUCAGAUGUGCCCAGAUGGGAUUAGCUAGUAGGUGGGGUAACGUCUCACCUAGGCGACGAUCCCUAGCUGGUCUGAGAGGAGUACCAGCCACACGGGAACUGAGACACGGCCCAGACUCAUACGGGAGGCAGCAGUGGGGAAUAUUGCACAAUGGGCGCAAGCCUGAUGCAGCCAUGCCGAGUGUGGGAAGAAGGCCUUCGGGUUGUAAAGCACUUUCAGCGGGGAGGCGUUACCCGCAGAAGAAGCACCGGCUAACUCCGUGCCAGCAGCCGCGGUAAUAC